rnacentral:rRNA from 1 species
GAUGAACGCUAGCUACAGGCUUAACACAUGCAAGUCGAGGGGUAACGAGAGGAAAGCUUGCUUUCCUUGUCGACGACCGGCGCACGGGUGAGUAACGCGUAUCCAACCUGCCCCCAACUAGGGAAUAACCUUGCGAAAGUAAGACUAAUACCCUAUAAUUUCCUCAGAUGUCAUCUGACGAGGAAUAAAGAUUUAUCGGUUGAGGAUGGGGAUGCGUCUGAUUAGCUUGUUGGCGGGGUAACGGCCCACCAAGGCAACGAUCAGUAGGGGUUCUGAGAGGAAGGGCCCCCACAUUGGAACUGAGACACGGUCCAAACGCCUACGGGAGGCAGCAGUGAGGAAUAUUGGUCAAUGGGCGGAAGCCUGAACCAGCCAAGUAGCGUGCAGGAUGACGGCCCUAUGGGUUGUAAACUGCUUUUAUACAGGAAUAAAGUUAGCCACGUGUGGUUAUUUGUAGGUACUGUAUGAAUAAGGACCGGCUAAUUCCGUGCCAGCAGCCGCAGUAA